UACGUAGGGGGCUAGCGUUGCUCGGAAUUACUGGGCGUAAAGCGCACGUAGGCGGCUUUCUAAGUCGGGGGUGAAAUCCUGGAGCUCAACUCCAGAACUGCCUUCGAUACUGGAAAGCUCGAGUCCGGGAGAGGUGAGUGGAACUGCGAGUGUAGAGGUGAAAUUCGUAGAUAUUAGGAAGAACACCAGUGGCGAAGGCGGCUCACUGGCCCGGUACUGACGCUGAGGCGCGAAAGCGUGGGGAGCAAACAGG
rnacentral:rRNA from 1 species